rnacentral:rRNA from 1 species
AUGACAUAUGGGAUACAAAACAUUGUUAUCUCGUGUGCUUUCGUGGAUAGUCAUCCAGAAAGUAGAUUAAUCAUAACUAUCCGUAUUGUUGAUGUUGCCACAAAAGCUGGUGGUAUCUACCACAUGCAACCACUUUCUGAUGAUUACUCCAAAAUGUUAUUCUAUACAAGAACAUCUGGUAUUGAAGGACCUGCUGAAGUGAUUACCAAAAUUUUAAAGAAAUGUGGUGGUGUGCCCUUAGCUAUCACUACAAUAGCUAGCUUGCUUGUUGGUAAACACAGUGAGGACUGGUCUAAGGUAUAUGAUGCCAUUCGUUUUGGGCAUGAAGAGAAUGACGAUGUUCAUAACACAAGAAAGAUAUUAUCUUUUAGCUAUUAUGAUUUGUCGUCCAAUCUGAAGACAUGUUUAUUGUAUCUUAGUGUGUUUCCUGAAGAUUAUUUAAUUGAUAAAAUAUCACUGAUAUGGAGGUGGGUUGCCGAGGGAUUUAUACCAUAUAGAGAAGGGAUGGAGUCAUUUGAACUUGGAGAGAUCUAUUUCAACACGCUUGUAAACAAGAGCAUGAUACGGUGGACAGAUCCUGAAGAUAAUGAUGGCCGAGGUGGUUGUCGUGUCCAUGACAUGGUGCUCGAUCUCAUCCGCACCAUAUCAAAUGAUGUAAAUUUUGUUACAAUACAUGAUAUGGAGCAGCAUGGCACAUGUUCACGAGAAAAACGAACCAACUGGGUUCGCAGAUUAGCAGUUCAUGGAAGUGUGGAACACAACUCUAGCAUUGCAAUGGAGCAUGUAAGGUCAUUUAAUGUUGUUAACUGCAAUGCCAACAGUAUGCCACUGCUUUUGAGCUUUAAAGUACUACGUGUGCUAGUUAUUGAGGACUGUGCUUUUUCGGAAGGUAGUAGUCUUGAGCAUCUCGGUAUGUUGGUGCAGUUGAGGUACCUGGGACUAGUGAAGACAGCGGUCAAGAUCCCGGAAGGAAUAGGGCAUGAUCUGAAGUUUCUUGAGAUACUGGAUGUAAGGGGAGGUUUGAUAAGUGAGCUGCCGGCAUCUGUUGGUGAGCUAAUGAAUUUGAGGUGCUUGUGGGCUGACGAAGGUACAGUGAUGAAGGGUGAGAUAGGGAAACUGACAUGCCUUGAAGAGCUGCAGCUAUAUUCGGUGGACAAGUGCCCAGACUUCUUCACAGAGGUGGGGAAGCUGACAAAGCUAAGGGUGCUCAAGAUCUAUUUCGCUGAAAUAGAGGAGUCUGCAGGCGAGGCUCUGAUGGAAUCUCUAUGCAAACUGCACAAGAUCCAUUGUCUGAGGAUCUUGGAUGAUGGUGGUGAGGGUAAGUAUGCGGUUGUCAAUCAUAGCUUGGAAGACUUGUCACUCUGUACAAAGCUGUACGAGCUAAUUCUGCCUAGCAUAGUUAUACCGAGGGUGUCAUCAUGGAUCAAUCAGUUAACUGUUCCACUCCUUUCUCGUCUAUGUCUGCAUGUGGCUGCGGUAGAAGUUGGGGAUGUUCAAACCAUCGGCAGGUUGCCAUCUCUCCUCUUCCUUGGUCUCUGGAGUAAGGAUGAAAAGAACAUAUCAUAUACUUUUGGCAGCAAUGAGUUUCACAAGCUAAGAGUCUUGUGGACGAAGAAGAUAGAGAUUGCUGUUGGAGAAGGAGCAUUGCCGAUGCUUGAAUCGCUGAUAUACAGUGUAAGCGCUGAAAGAAAGGACGCUGCCAGAUUGGUGGCGUGGGGGAGAAAUAGCUGCCCUUUGCUGAAGGAAGUCACCUGUUCCCUUGACUGCACGAACAGCAGCUACAGGGAAGUAAAGGAAGCGAAGCAAGCGCUGAAGCAGGCUUCCGGCACCGGUCCCAAUGCUGUGUAUCUCGAUCUCGACAUAGAAGAAGAAAACUACGAUGAGGAGGCAGGUAGAUUCAUUGAUAAUCUCGAGUGGAUCCUACGUGGUUUGGACAGACCCAAGGAUGUGGGCCGUCCUGCAGUACACCAGGAAGAAAGGACGCGUCGCAUGAUUAGAUCACUCGAGAGAAGGUUACGUGACGCCGCGGAGCCUCGGGUCAGGAGGUACGGCCAACAAGAGAUACGUGCCCUUGUCACCAAAUUUAAGAGUUGGCUACAAGACCAUGCAGGCACCGACCAGGAUGAGGCGGACAAGAGUCGCGACGAUGACGAUGAAGAUUAUUAUUACGACGACGACGACGAGGAUGACGGUACCGACCAAGCAGAGGCAGACGAUGGUGAAGCAGAAUCCUGUUGCAGUGGGGAUGAGCAGCAGGAGGGGGACAGCCAACCUUGA